AGCCGGCGUAGCUCAGGGGUAGAGCAGCUGUUUUGUAAACAGCUGGCCGGGGGUUCGAAUCCCUUCGCCGGCUCCCA
rnacentral:tRNA from 1 species